rnacentral:rRNA from 1 species
AGUUAGGAAAUGUAAGUUUGAAAAUAUCAAAUUUACUUGACAAAAGCUCCAAAGGAAGCCACGGCUAACUCUGUGCCAGCAGCCGCGGUAAUACAGAGGUGGCGAGCGUUGUUCGGAAUUAUUGGGCGUAAAGAGCACGUAGGUGGAUUUGUAAGUCAGAUGUGAAAGCCUUCUGUUCAACGGAAGAAUUGCAUCUGAAACUACAAACCUUGAGUAUAGGAGGGGAGAGUGGAACUUCUGGU